rnacentral:lncRNA from 1 species
ACAAAUUCAGUCAGUUACUGUGAGUAAUCUUCUCCACUUUAUUAAGCUUUUUAUUUUGAUCAUAAAAUUAUUGAAGAAUCAAGGACUUAGAGCUACAAUUCUCCUUGGAGAGGCAUAUUCAUCAUUUUCAAGUAUAUAGAGUUAGCACAUACAAAAAAUAUGUACGAAUGAAAGAUAUAUAAGCGUUCUCUUUCUGUCUUUAUGUUCACAUUGUGUCCUGUUUGUGCGUGAAAGUUGAUGUUGUCAAGCCUCUUUAUUGUUGGAAACAUUGAUCUUUUAGUCAUAAGGAGGGGUUAUUACUUAAAGGAUGCAUUUCCAUGUUAUACUAGCACUACCAGGUAAUUAUUUCAGUUACUUUUUACACACACUUUAAGUCUUUAAAACAUCAAUUUUGAAACAAAGUAGAAAAGUACACUUAUUUUUCUUCAAAGUUGAGACACCCUCUUCAUUGAGUUGUUUGUAAUUUUGAUGCUAUUGUGUUUUUAUAUUCACAUNNNNNNNNNNNNNNNNNNNNNNNNNNNNNNNNNNNNNNNNNNNNNNNNNNNNGAAAUUUGCUCGAGGUCCGAUCCUAAUUUUGAGGGAUUGCAUGCAUCUCAAAGAAGUAAGGUUAUAGACUUAGGCUUAUAAUACAUUUAUGGUUCCCAAUUUAUUGAGUUAACCUCUGCCUCUGAAAUGCUUCAAAUUCAUGAGGCAGAUGGGAGUUCUAAUAUAAAGAUGUUCGUUUCCUUGCUAUAUUUUGAGGAAAAUGAAAAUGAUUGAAUUUAAUAGAUUUUAUUUUACCCUUUGUAGAGAUUAGUGAACACGGAUGCUGUGAUGGAGCUCCUGCCUUGGAAAGAUAGACUUAAGAGUCUAUGGACGGUUCACAUACUAAUCAAAGCUUUAGGAAACAUGUCCAGUUAAACAUAGGUGAGAAUCAAGAAGAAUUUUAUCUUUUGAUUACUAUUGCUUUUAAUGUGUAGCCAAAAAUCAAUAAGAAACCUAGCAGCAUCAGUAAUGGGUAGUUUGAACAUUGACAUUAGUAGCAUACGAAUACAUGGGAUGGGAUAGCGAAGAAGCAUGAUGACUGACCUAUAUAUUCAUGUGUUUAUUAUAUAUUCAUGACCUAUAUAUUCAGAACACAGUGUCACGUCACUUUCAUCUCUGUAUUCCUUUUUUUCUUUUCCUUCACACAUUGCUUUCCUUCUUUUCUUUCUCCACCCCAUUUUGGUGAAAAACCAAAAGCUACUUUGCAAUCCUAUUCUACAAUGCUUUGACCAAUGCUUUCAAAAUUUAAAUUUCAAAAACCCCUCCAAAAUCAUUCUCUAAAAUUUGCUACAUUUCAUUUUUCUCUUAAAUUUUUUGUUUGUGGUCCUUUUGUCACACUCUAAGUGGAUCACUUUUAGUUUCGUAUUUUUAUUUUUAUUUACAUAGAAGGAAUUAUUGUCAUUCUUUGAAUUUCUUACUAUAGCGAGUUAGUGAGGUGCAUAACUUGAUUGUAUUUGAAAACUCCUCAUUAGACGUUGAAGUUAAUAUCACAUAACUUGAUUCGUAUGCUACAGCCACUUCAAAUCUGGUUUUGUGCACACUUAACUGAUUUUGUUUUAUACCUGGCAGAGAAUUCCAUGGAGAUCGAACCUUAAAUGAGAAACAAGUUGAGAUUCUUAAUGACAUCACUAUCAUUUUCAGAGGUAACCCUUAUUUCUUUCUAUUUUCCGUUACGUCAUUAUUUAUAAAAAAUAAUGUAACUACUUUGUUGUCAAUGAUUUGCAUUCUCCAAACUUCAUGUAUAGUAUUAUAAAAGAAUAAGCCACCAGACUCUCAAUGCAAAACAUGCCUAAUAAUCGGUAUAGUGCGGUAGGGCAUUCAACUCAAUAUCAUUUUGUUUUGGUUGUUUAACCAUGUUUUAAUUUCGAGUUUGUGCCUGAACUAACAUAAGUGGUACGAUGUUUUGGCAUCUAGAAUUAUUUUGAUGAUUGUCUUUUUCUACAGUUUUUGACCAAAUAUUACAGAGCAUGUCAUACGGAAAAAAUUAGAAAGGAAGGAGCAAGAAGAUUAGCUAAAGCUUGAGUGCAACUAAGAUAGAUACAGUUUGUAAUAAAUAUAAUACCCUUAAAUGUUGAAUAGAAUCACUGUCUAACAUUGUUUUUCCAAUAUAAUUAUGCUUAUUCAAUAGCUUUAAAGCAUUGCUUUAUUUUUUUCAAAUGCAUUGAUUUGGUGAAUUAGUCUUCAAUUAGAUUUAUUUUGGUUUUUUGUUUUUUAUUUUUCCUUUUUGUUGAUAGUUUCAUUGCAUUUUCUACGUUGCUCUAUAGUUUUUCAAUCACAUUAAUUAUUAACAUUCAUAUUCACGAUGAAGCUAAUUGUAUUAGUAUAAAACAAAAUACGUUUAAAACGUUCUCUUUAUUAAUCAAUUCUUAUAAGACGAGAGGUUAUAGUAUAUACUAUUGAUAUUAUUUUUUUUGUUCGAUCUGAUGUUAGCGAGGAAGAAUAUAUAUU